rnacentral:rRNA from 1 species
CCUACGGGGGGCAGCAGUAGGGAAUCUUCCACAAUGGACGAAAGUCUGAUGGAGCAACGCCGCGUGAGUGAAGAAGGGUUUCGGCUCGUAAAGCCCUGUUGGUAGUGAAGAUAGUUAGAGGUAGUAACUGGCCUUUAUUUGACGGUAAUUUCUUAGCAAGUCGCGGCUAACUACGUGCCAGCAGCCGCGGUAAUACGGAGGUGGCAAGCGUUCUCCGGAUUUAUUGGGCGUAAAGCGAGUGCAGGCGGUUCAAUAAGUCUGAUGUGAAAGCCUUCGGCUCAACCGGAGAAUUGCAUCAGAAACUGUUGAACUUGAGUACAGGAGAGGAGAGUGGAACUCCAUGUGUAGCGGUGGAAUGCGUAGAUAUAAGGAGGAACACCAGUGGCGAAGGCGACUCUCUGGUCUGCAACUGACGCUGAGGCUCGAAAGCAUGGGUAGCGAACAGGAUUAGAUACCCUAGUAGUC